ensembl:lncRNA
AUCUCACUGCUGAUUCCUGCUUACCUGAGGCCUUCCAAGGGUCACAGCUGGAACCACUGAUGGAGCACCUGGUGAAGGGGCGUAGCCAGCUCUGGGACACAGGUGGAAGCAAUCCCUCCUAAUCUCAUACAAUGGCUGGCAGCUGCAAAGGAAAAAAUCUCUACUUCGAGAUCGUCUCAUUUGGAGUGUUUGGUGGAUCUUGAUCCUUGGAAUGGGAUAUGUUGGUGCCAGAGGUUUUACAGUUCUCUUAGCUCCAUGUUGGUUUUUGGUCUCCCAUGAGGGUGGUGCCAUCUUUGUGACUGGGGAACCUGAGAGCAACAGGAAUGGUGUGGCAGCCCUCGUGACCUGAAGAGACACCAUGCUUCCUUUGGUAUGCAAGAAAUUACGUUAGACUUUCUUCUGGGAUUGCAAAUCAUUGUUCAGCCCAUUCAUAGCUCCUGCAGUUCCAAUUGCUAUUACACAGGACAACUCUCACUUCUUCUGAGGAUCUGCUAUUGGCUGAGUUUGAUAGAUCAGAACAGUACAGCCAUGAACCAAACCAAUCAAGGUUGCGGGACUCUUCCCCCACUGCUGUACUACACAGGUGUUUCAACUUUGAGCAUUAGCAAUGUUGAACUCAUUCUGUCAGCAUCAACAAUUUCACUUCAGGAAACAACAGGAAGGAGUUUUCCAUUCAGUGGUCAGGAAAGCUGAAAAAACUUGGAAAAGUGAACCUGCUGAGUGCUGCACUUAAAGCAUUCACUCCUCCCAAGAUUAAACUCAAGAACAACAACAAAGAUGCCAGAAGAGUAACUAAAAAGUGAAUCCUUUUUACUAAAAUUUUCAGGGAUGGCAUUUAUCCUGUAAUUGUGAAUUCAAAUCAUUCAGUGGGUUUGUUUGUCUUGAAAAUGCUCUUGUAAGUACUGCUUUAACUUUAGGAGGACUAAUGGAUAAUCCCAACAAAGAAUGUGCUGGGUCAAAUUAAUGACCAGUAGAAAUCAUUUUUGAUUUUCCAAAGUACAUAGGUAUUUUGAUAACUUGGUUCAUAUGUGCACUGCUGUUCAGUUUUAAUUCAAGCAUUGUGUACUUGCUGUUAAAUCACAGUUUUAAUUCAAGCAUUCAUGUUUUAAAAAUUGGGUCCAGAAGGUCUUAAAGAUAACAAAGUGAGACAUGCUUGUUAGAUCAUCUGCUUUCAUGUUAAUUGUCUUGUACCUCUGCUUGGGAUUUUGUUUGUUUUUAAUCUAAUUUUAAUCUGGUUUAAAAUAUGAAAAACAACUCUCUCACAAAAAUGGUUGAGCUAAAUACAUUUUAUUUAU